GCUGAAGAACGCAGCAAAAUGCGAUAAGUAAUGUGAAUUGCAGAAUUCAGUGAAUCAUCGAAUCUUUGAACGCACAUUGCGCCCGCCAGUAUUCUGGCGGGCAUGCCUGUUCGAGCGUCAUUUCAACCCUCAAGCCCUCGGGUUUGGUGUUGGGGAUCGGCGAGCCUUUCUGGCAAGCCGGCCCCGAAAUCUAGUGGCGGUCUCGCUGCAGCCUCCAUUGCGUAGUAGUAAAACCCUCGCAACUGGAACGCGGCGCGGCCAAGCCGUUAAACCCCCAACUUCUGAAUGUUGACCUCGGAUCAGGUAGGAAUACCCGCUGAACUUAAGCAUAUCAAUAAGCGGAGGA
rnacentral:misc_RNA from 1 species